UCAAUUUACAUAACAAUCACCGCGAUCCACUGUCACAUCACACUCACUAAAUCUAAAUCUAAAGACAUGAAAUAUCACAUUUUUUCACAUAAUAAAUCACGUGUAAAAUUGUAAAUCGCGUGAAUUUUAUAUUAUUAAACACGUGCCACCUAUUUAAUUUCUGAGCUCAUCUGAAGAAAUUAAUAAAUAGCAAUAAAUCGCUACUCAUUGCAACUUUGUUUGAUAGAAAUUCUGUGUCCCAUUCGAUCCAAUUGAAUCUCGAAUAAAAAUCAAGCAUGGAAACACCGUCUCCGGAACAGCAAGCUUUGCAAAAUCCCAUUAUUCUCCAAACAAUAUUUCAAAACGAAUCUCUUUCUACAAAAAAUUUGCGCCUAGUUUGUAAUUUAUGGAAUGAAAUAAUACUGUCUCUCCCCCAACCAAAAUUAAGUCUUCGAUUGACAAAGCGAUCUGAAUCAAAGAAGCCGUCAAAUUGCUGUGAUGCUGUCCCAUUUCAAACCUUUUGCGUCAAAAUGGAACCCAAACUUGCAAAAUGUAUAAUAGACUAUGGGUGUCAAAAGCCAGCUUUACAUUCACCUUCGCAAAGAAGUUCUACCGCUGCAUCUCGAUUACUUCACGUUUGCGACAAAUUUUCUCAGAUUAUCGAAGAAGUAACAAUCACCUUCGUCGAGGCAGACUUCGUCCCAACUUUGUACGAAAUAUUGCAAAACUGCUGCCCAAAUUUGAAAAAGGUUGAACUUUAUUUCCGUCCGCGGGGAUUGCAUGAUGAAUACAUGCCUUCCCAAAGUAUGAUACCACUUCGGGUCAAGCCGAAGUUGACCUCAAUAAGAAUCGUUGACCCGACAGCACAAUUCUUGAAGAUGACACAAAUGAUUAUUAAUUCAGCUCCCAACUUGACACGUUUCUUUUAUCAUGGCAAAAGAUAUCCAAAUCUAAGUCGGCGUGGAACAGUUAAAUGGAUUCAAGUGGACAUGAGUCGCAUGAAAUUGAAAGAUAUCUCAAAUUGCGGAAGUACCAACGGCCUUAACGAAAUGUUGGACCAUGUGAAAAAUCAUCUACGAGUUUUAGUCAUUGCGAAUAAUUUUGAUCUGCAUGACGUUCAAGACAACAUUAACUGGGGCGACGACGACGACUGGAAUGACGACAGUGAUCACGAAGACAACGUAGCGAACAAUCACGAACUCGACUUUGAAGACGACAACUGGGACGACGAUGUCGGGAUCGAACUUUCCGAUGAAGACGAUGAGGAUUACGAUAUAGAACGGAUUGCUUUCAAGAUCCCAAAAAUGAAGAGUCUUAAAAUGUUUGAAAACCAUUUGGUGGAUGGUUUUACUUGUGGUGAUGCAUUGCAAGAUAUUUGCACAGCGAGACUCCCCGCAUUGGAGACUUUGAAGCUUUCUAGCGCAUAUUUAUCUUCUACCAAUAUGGACGACUUGUUACAAAAUGCGAUGAGGUCGAAGAAUUUAUUUACUGGGGUGAAAAAUCUCCAUCUAACGGAUGUACGGGACCCUAAAUCAAUCAUUGGUUUAGGCCAAGUGUUCACAAAUUUGGAGACUUUAUCAAUUCGGCUUUUAAACAAUGGAAUGGAAGACAGAUUAGGAACUGCUGUCGAAUGGGUCGGGCUUUGCGAGGAAUUGUUUGCACGUAUGUGGUCUGAAGAAUUGUACCAUGGAAAUUGUCCCAAUGGGAAUAGAGGUAGAUCUCCUUGUGCUUCAUAUUGAACGCAUGAAACAGUGUCUUUUGCUAAUGAAAAAAGUGAAGAAUGUAUCUGCAACUAUUAAGUGCAUGAAGUUUAAAGAAGAAACAUGGAAAUGGAUGGAUCCCUUCAUUCGGGAUAAUAAGAUUCCAAUUAAAUUUGAAACCCUUCAUUCGGGAUAAUAAGAUUCCAAUUAAAUUUGAAAUAAUUGCCAAAGAUACGAUCACACGUACAAAAUAGUUAUAUUUUCAUACAUUUACAUUCAUACAUUUACAUAUUACUGAUUAUCAGUUAUUUAGUAUUUACAAGUUACGUACUUAUUUAUGUAUCAAUCAAUGGUGAACUACAUACAUAUGUAUGUAGGUUCAUUCAAUCCUAAAACUUAAAGUGUACACGUUGGUUAUAACUUACACAUACAUACUUAAGUACUUUGAUAUAGUAUUAAGCGAAAAAUCCUUUAAAAUAUUUCUUCAUAAAGUGAACUUUUGUGAAAUAUUGGUGGUGAUAUCAUUUAUAAAUACUUUUUCUAAUGAAAUUGUACACUUGUAAUGUCAUCAAAGGCAUUUUAGAAACAACGAGAUUUUGUAUGUACCAUUGCCCGAUAUGAUUGUAAAAUGGUAAUCGCCUUCUUUACUGAUUGUUCUUCCUGUAUUGCAUUCUAUAUUUUUUAUAACAGUAUAUAACGUUUUCGAGCCUGUAGAGAAAUUUAGAGCAAUACGUAUCUAUAUUUAUAAAUAUAAUAUAAUACACAUUCAUUGUUCUUCCAAAAUAUUUCUUAUUCAUUAAAAAUCUAUGGUAUGCUUAAUUUCUCAGACAAUUGCUGUAGCCUUUCAAGUUGGAAUCACAGUGUAAAGAAUUUACUCAAGUCAUUGAAAGUAGGACGCUUCGUUAUGUCAAUCUCCCAGCACUGUUGCAUUAAAUUGCACCUGAAAUUAAUAAAAAAUGCAAACCUCAA